UUUCAAUAUUAUUUUUAACCUGACUGUGUCCCUUUAAUAGUGACUUUACCUGAGGUCACACAGUGAGUCAGUGGUAAUCUAAAAUAGAAUCCAGUUCUGACUCUCCGUUCUAACUGCUAGUUACCUGCUUCUUCCUCUCCAGUGAUCAUGAUGAUGACAGCAAAAAGGUUCACUUUUAUAAUGUUUUCAAUCUUCCCAUUGACUUCAAUGGGAGUUGGAUCAGGCCCCAAAUGUUUCAAACAGAUAAAUUACAAGCUGGGGACAUCAUCCAUAUUUCCCUUCAGUUUAAGCAAGUGUCUCAAAUAGUCCACCUGCUAGCUCCUUCGUUUUGCUUAUGUUCUUCUUGCCCCUUAAUUGAUGGUCCCCUGCAUGAGAUGGUUCUUCCUUCUCAAGAAUUCUUUAAUAUGUAAUUUUUGCUUGUCCACUUGCCUGUUGGUUCACACUCCAGCAACACUGCAUAGAAAGACAAGUUCCUUAUCAAGUUUUGUAUUUGGGCAGGGCACUGAUGCAAUCUGCUGUCUGGUGAAUCACAUUGCACACAGAUAAAUGAUAAGGAAUUGAAUUACGUGUGUGUAACAUCUCAGGCUGGCCAGCAAUCUAAUAUAGUGCCACAUUGACUUUAUUUGAGAGGAUCAGAACUGCCAACUGUUAUUGGAAGUUUCUGAAAGACCUGAGAUUAAUGCAUCAGAGGAGGCCAAUGAGAGACAAGGAUGCUAGCGUGAGAAUGGAUCAAAAGUAUGGGGAAGGCUCAUCUCCAAAAGGAACCCCAGUCGUGGACCAGAAACCUGUUGUGAGAGGUGGUGUGAAAACACAGCAAAGCCAGUCCCUGCUCCAAAGAGCUGACAGUCUUGGAUUUGGAACAUCAAUACCAAAACCAGCUUGACCAAGAAACAACUCAUUCAAAAAUUUUAAGGACUUAACAUCUUUAAUCCCGUCCCUUGCUAAUGCUGGGCUGCCCGGGCCGAGGGAAGCACGAAGCUGCCGGGGAGAGGGGAUCUGCCCGCCAGCUGCGGAGCGCUCGGCCGCCGAGCCCUGAGCUGC